CCGCCCUGCCAGCUCCGAAGCCCGUGUCCUUGUCCUAAGCUCACCUCUCCUCCCUUUUCUGCCCCCAGCUGGCCCCAGGCAGAGGAGCAGAGACAGAAAGUGCAUGAGAUUGAACUUGGCAGGAUCUUUCUGGAAGCUGUGCUGAGGAUGGGGAGGACAGGAAGAAGCAGCUGGGGAGAAUUUGGUGAGCCUGACCCCUGCAGUAGGGCAGGUGCAAUGCUGCUGAGGAAAAUGAAGCUGAUCCUCGGGCUUCUGCUGUCCAUGGCAUGGCCCAUGCUCCAUGCAAACAUCACCCUGACUGGGAAACAAAGUUAGGAAGACUCUCUGUCUGCUGUGACAUUGGACUGUAUUUUCCAGAAGCCCAUGCAAGUUGGUUGGCCCCUGGAGACUUCCUCUGCCUAGAAAAAUCGGUCUCUAAGAAGCCUCUACUGCAAAAAAAAAAAAAAAAGUAAUAAAUGUGCUACUUAAGGGUUAAAAAAAGUCAACACUGGCUAUGGAAUCAUUUUGGGUGCACUAUCUCUAAAUCACUUGACCAUUUCUAAAAUAUGGCCUUGGAUAAGACUUCUGAAUAAUGACUGUACAUAGAGUUUCGUGCAUUUGACAAAACAAAACAAACAAAACAAAUGAAAGGUUGCAAAAUUUGUCCCUGACCUGAAUUUUAAAAUUUAUUUUAUGACUCUUCUGAACCAGCUCAUUACUUUACUACUGGGAUAUCUCAUAUCAUCCCUGAGAGGGGCCAGCAGGCGAUUUUGCCCCAUCACAAAACAUCGAUGAUAACAAUUUUACAACCUGUGGGACUUUAGGAAGAAAAUGAUGGAAGGCAUUAAAAUAGACUAUAGAAAUGUGAUUCAGAUUGCUAGGAAAGAGUUCACCAACUGCUAUAUAACAAGCUAUAUAACUAUUUUGAUUACACCCCAAAUAUUCCCAAUCCUU
rnacentral:lncRNA from 1 species